AAGUAAAACAUUUUAUUUUAUGUGGAGUAGAGCUUAUUAGUCUUGAAAAACAAAAUCGCGUGGCGGCUUAGCAACUUCAUAGAGGGGUAUGUUUUUUAAUCGACAUUACACGAACAUCUUACCUUUUCUAGUGAAGGGUUUUUAUAAUGUUUCGCAUUCUACACACCGCCGUCGGAAGAGUAUUUCUAGAGAACUUCUCUUUAUCUUUUUAAAGAUGUAAGUCAGGUCAAGGCGUAGACUAUGGAUAGGUUAAAAUGUAUCUCUAUAUUAUUAUUAUGUUUUAAGAAUUGCAUUUUACGUUCAGUUGAAACACCAUUAAAUAAUUGAAUUUAUAAGUAAAGCUUGUUUAUAAUACAAGUUUGAAUAGUGCUCUGUUUUGUGU
rnacentral:rRNA from 1 species